GGUGAUGUAGUAUAGGGGUUAAAGCAUCGGAAUGCAACUCAGAUGACCUGGGUUCAAUCCCCAGUCAGCA